UUUACUUAAUUGUUUCAGUUUUAAGUGCUGAAUAUGGGAUAUCAAACAACCCCACAUGCUAUGGACAAUAUCUUCGGAAAUGUCAGGGUUGUGCUUUGAGAGAACGCGAUCUCUGAUCCGCUUUCUUAGGGACAAAGGAUUGGAGAAGGCAAAAUCCAAGGAAAAAGAGAAAGUCAUCUAUGCAAAUAAGAGAAGAUAAUGCAAGCUCGGUGAUUGGACAUCUUCGAGAGAGAAAUGUCGGUAUUUUGAUCUGGGAGGAGCAAGACCGUGAAAUAGCACAGGCAUAGUCCAAGGGAAAAGAGAAAUUAAUCUUUGCAAGGGAAAAAAAAUGCAUUUCCAUUGGUAUGAUUCAUUACCCAUUUUUUUUAGCCAUUUCCAGUGGUACACGAUACAUUUAAAUUAAAUUAGCCUGUGUCACGAGAGGGCUAUUGGAGGAUAUGAUGAUGAGAGGGUACAAUGUCUAUAAGAAGCUGCAAUUAUGAAAAUUGGAUACCAAUUGAGGAGAUUAUUCAGUAUAAUUCUCAUGCAGUGCUCUCCGCUACACCCAUAUGGAUUAUGGAAACAAUUCUCAAUUCAUAUUUGUGAUGAUCUUGCACACAAAAUUCGUAUAUUGUUUGUCAUAUCUAACCCAUCAGAGGCUCAAAUUAAGGACUAUGGCUUAUAUUUUUUAAACCAAUUGCUUCAAGAAUCUGGCAAGACCUUGCUUGAUUGACUUCUCUCCUAUGCCAAAACCAAAUAAAAAUUGGAGUGCAAUAGUUGGGAGCAGAUUGAUUCUUGAACAUCGACAACUACAGAUUGAGGCGCAACAAGCACAUGCUCCAAUUAAUUUUCAUUACCUUAAUAGUGGACAAAGCACUGCUUACAAUGCCAUCACUUCUUCGGUCUUUGCAAACAAAAGGACUAUGUUCUUUUCGAAUGGGGGUGCUAGAACUCAUUAGAUCCAACUGGGCGACCACCUUUUAAGGUAGAGUUGAAAGUGGGUUGUCCUAUAAUUUUAUUAAGAAAUAUUGCACCGAAAGACGGCCUUUGUAACAGCACAAGGAUGAUGGUUGUCAAACGUGCCCCGUGCAUAAUUGAAGUUCUAAUAUUAACAAAAGGACAUUUUGGCGAAUUUGCAUUCAUUCCUAGGAUUUCCUUGACUCCCUCAUCUUCAAAUUUUCCUUUUUGAAUGACAAGACGUCAAUUUCCAAUUAGAUUGGCGUAUGCUCUGACCAUUAAUAAAUCCCAAGGGCAAUCGGUGAAAGUUGUUGGGGUUGAUUUGCGUACACCCAUAUUUAGUGAUGGACAGUUAUAUGUGGCGCUAUCAAGAUGCACCUCUUUUGAUAGUGUCAGUGAAUGAGCUUGAUUCCAUGACGAACAUUUUCUAUCCCGAAGUGUUAUUGUCGUGAUGUGUAGUCAAAACCACCACUAUACAAAAGAUAAAAGGUACGACUAAUUUGUCAAUCUCUAUUUAAAUUUGUUCAAUCAACUCUUAAAAGGGUACUCUACAGUGUUGGUGUAUUUUUUGUAGGAUUGGGAUGAAAAGGGCUAUGGAGCUCAAGAGGAAGAAUAUGACGUCAAUGCUACAAUGGAAAAGUAAUAAGGUUGUCGUGCAUUCAACUUGAUGGAGGUACUUCAUCCCCAUUGAUACAUGGACAUUUAAAGCAUUGGAAGACUUUUUCAGUGGCACAUUGAGGCGUAUUUUUUAGAGACGACUAGGUGUAUUUUUAAGAGAUGACUUUAGAAGCAAUUGAAGACUUUUUGAGAGGCAUGUUGAAGACUUUUGAACUAUGAAAGCAAAAACAUUUUGUAAAGAAAACACCGUAUUGGAAUGACACUAUUGUAAAGCCUUAUUCCCAUAUUUGUUGCAUAGGCAAUGUCAUGACACUUGCGAUGUGAAGACACUCUUUUGUAAAGAUAUUGGCACUAAUGAUGGAUUUAUUUUUAUUUUUAUUUUCCGUCACAGAUUAGAUUUAAUCA